rnacentral:rRNA from 1 species
UACAGAGGUCCCAAGCGUUGUUCGGAUUCAUUGGGCGUAAAGGGUGCGUAGGUGGCGGGGCCAGUCAGGUGUGAAAUCCCGGGGCUUAACCCUGGAACUGCAUUUGAUACUGCCUUGCUGGAGAACUGGAGAGGAGACUGGAAUUUACGGUGUAGCAGUGAAAUGCGUAGAGAUCGUAAGGAAGACCAGUGGCGAAGGCGAGUCUCUGGACAGUUACUGACACUGAGGCACGAAGGCCAGGGGAGCAAACGGG